GCGCCCGUAGCUCAGGUGGACUAGAGCGACUGGCUUCGAACCAGUAGGUCGGGUGUUCGAAUCACCCCGGGCGCG
rnacentral:tRNA from 1 species